GAUUAGCGCGCGCCUCUUCCCAGAGUCCAAAGUCACACAUGGCAGCCGCGAUGCCGCGUUGGGUGCAUCGAAUCGGUGUUUACUGUACCCGCGGGGUAGAGGGCUGAGGCUUUGAUUACGAGCCAUUAUUGUCGCAUCAGCGAGCUGCGACGCUGUGUUUUUGUGACGCGAAACGUAUUCGUUCGCGGGGAGUUUUGUGGCAUAUUUUGGCCAGGGGUCGUGUUUUUGUUGCCUAAAAAUAGCUUUUUUGAAGUGAUUAAAAGAAGAAAAACAACCAUUAAAGGCUAAGGAGCAGGAGGUGAAGGCAGACAAAAACAGAUAACACCAGGCGCCCGGUGCUUUGUUGUGAGCGGAGGCACUACACAAGGGGUGUCCAAUCGACGUUUCGAACCCGGAUUUUGCUUCGACUUCAACCGGAUCCGGUUCCAAUGACGUGCUGGCGGCAGGCGGUAGUCCUUGGCGCUGCCCGGGUGAAGUUGUUGUUGACAGCCGUGGAAUCUUUCCGCGUUCCGGGCCGGGUUUGUUUGAUUGUUGGCUCCGAAGUCAUCCACAGAGUAGAUUGUGAAUUUUAGAUGGUCUAAAAUUAGUCCUCAAAAUGGCAAAAAAUGGAUGUUUGACAAAAUUCUAAACGGCAGACAAAUGAUUCCAGCUCAUUUUUCGAUUUGAGGCUUAAUUAUUAAGAACAUAGACGAAUGAAUUAACGUUUAGCCAGAACUUAACCAUCUUCAGCGUCUUCCAAUUCGAGCUGCGGUUGGUUUUAGUACACUGGAACUCUCCAAGGUAAACCACUGAUACGGAUGUAAAGUUUAAAAGGUCUGCUUUAAAUUGAUGAGCCCGGUUUUAGUUCUUCCCGGUGUGCUCACGUUACGAGCCCAGUGCCAUUCAUGGUAAAGAGCGAUUCUCGUGAUGACGCUUUAAGACGGUGAGAAAUCUUCAAAUCGAAUGCAAAUGGAAUGCAAAACCGAUAGUAAAAUAUUCACAAGGGUUAUUUAAAUAUGAAUAAAAGUGACAAAUAAAUAGGGA